rnacentral:rRNA from 1 species
AUUGAACGCUGGCGGCAGGCCUAACACAUGCAAGUCGAGCGGAUGAAGGGAGCUUGCUCCUGGAUUCAGCGGCGGACGGGUGAGUAAUGCCUAGGAAUCUGCUGGGUGUUGGGGGAAAAGGUCCGGAAAGGGGGGCAAAUACCGCAUAGGUCCUGAGGGGAAAGGUGGGGGAUCUUCGGACCCCACGCAACCGAUGAACCCUAGGUCGGAUUAGCUAGUUGGUGGGGUAAAGGCCUACCAAGGCGACGAUCCGUAACUGGUCUGAGAGGAUGAUCAGUCACACUGGAACUGAGACACGGUCCAGACUCCUACGGGAGGCAGCAGUGGGGAAUAUUGGACAAUGGGCGAAAGCCUGAUCCAGCCAUGCCGCGUGUGUGAAGAAGGUCUUCGGAUUGUAAAGCACUUUAAGUUGGGAGGAAGGGCAGUAAGUUAAUACCUUGCUGUUUUGACGUUACCAACAGAAUAAGCACCGGCUAACUUCGUG